UGCAGUCGAACGGUAACAGGCCGCAAGGUGCUGACGAGUGGCGAACGGGUGAGUAAUGCAUCGGAACGUGCCCAGUAGUGGGGGAUAGCCCGGCGAAAGCCGGAUUAAUACCGCAUACGACCUACGGGUGAAAGCGGGGGACCGAAAGGCCUCGCGCUAUUGGAGCGGCCGAUGUCAGAUUAGGUAGUUGGUGGGGUAAAGGCCUACCAAGCCUACGAUCUGUAGCUGGUCUGAGAGGACGACCAGCCACACUGGGACUGAGACCCGGCCCAGACUCCUACGGGAGGCAGCAGUGGGGAAUUUUGGACAAUGGGCGCAAGCCUGAUCCAGCCAUGCCGCGUGCGGGAAGAAGGCCUUCGGGUUGUAAACCGCUUUUGUCAGGGAAGAAAUCUUCUGGGUUAAUACCUCGGGAGGAUGACGGUACCUGAAGAAUAAGCACCGGCUAACUACGUGCCAGCAGCCGCGGUAAUACGUAGGGUGCAAGCGUUAAUCGGAAUUACUGGGCGUAAAGCGUGCGCAGGCGGUUAUGUAAGACAGAUGUGAAAUCCCCGGGCUUAACCUGGGAACUGCAUUUGUGACUGCAUAGCUUGAGUGCGGCAGAGGGGGGUGGAAUUCCGCGUGUAGCAGUGAAAUGCGUAGAUAUGCGGAGGAACACCGAUGGCGAAGGCAAUCCCCUGGGCCUGCACUGACGCUCAUGCACG
rnacentral:rRNA from 1 species